ACAACUCUAAAAACAUAAAUAAGUCAUACAAGCAUCAUAAUACAAGCUAGGGGCCUCGAGGGCUCGAAUACAAGUGCUCGAUCAUAGACGAGUCAGCGGAAGCAACAAUAUCUGAGUACAGACAUAAGUUAAACAAGUUGCCAUAAGAUGGCUAGCACAAACUAGGAUACAGAUCGAAAGAGGCGUAGGCCUCCUGCCUGGGAUCCUCCUAACUACUCCUGGUCGUCGUCAGCGGGCUACACGUAGUAGUAGGCACCUCCGGUGUAGUAGGAGUCGUCGCCGACGGUGGUGUCUAGCUCCUGGGCUCCGACAUCUGGUUGCGACAACCAGGUAGAAGGGAAGGGGGAAAAGGGGAGAAAAGCAACCAUGAGUACUCAUCCAAAGUACUCGCAAGCAAGGAGCUACACUACAUAUGCAUGGGUAUAUGUGUAAGGAGGCAAUAUGGGUGGACUGAACUGCAAAAUGCCAGAAUAAGAGGGGGAUAGCUAGUCCUAUCGAAGACUACGCUUCUGGCAGCCUCCGUCUUGCAACAUGUAGAAGAGAGUAGAUUGAAGUCCUCCAAGUAGCAUCGCAUAGCAUAAUCCUACCCGGCGAUCCUCUCCUCGUCGCCCUGUUAGAGAGCGAUCACCGGGUUGUAUCUGGCACUUGGAAGGGUGUGUUUUAUUAAGUAUCCGGUUCUAGUUGUCAUAAGGUCAAGGUACAACUCCGGGUCAUCCUUUUACCGAGGGACACGAUUAUUCGAAUAGAUUAACUUCCCUGCAGGGGUGCACCACAUAACCCAACACGCUCGAUCCCAUUUGGCCGUACACACUUUCCUGGGUCAUGCCCGGCCUCCGAAGAUCAACACGUCGCAGCCCCACCGAGGCCUAACAGAGAGGUCAGCACGCCGGUGUAACUCCUAUGGCGCAGGGGUCUGGGCCCAUCGCCCAUUGCACACCUGCAUGUUGCGUGGGCGGCCGAAAGAAGAACUAGCCCCCUUAAUACAAGAGCAGGCUUACGUUCCAAUCCGGCGCGCGCCACUUAGCCGCUGACGUCUAGAAGGCUUCGGCUGAUACCACGAUGUCGAGUGCCCAUAUCUUUCCCGCGUAGUUGGUUAGUGCGUAUAGGCCAGCGGCC
rnacentral:lncRNA from 1 species